rnacentral:rRNA from 1 species
UACGGGGGGGGGCAAGCGUUGUUCGGGAUUACUGGGCGUAAAGGGCUCGUAGGCGGCCAACUAAGUCGGACGUGAAAUCCCUCGGCUUAACCGGGGAACUGCGUCCGAUACUGGUUGGCUUGAGUUUGGGAGAGGGAUGCGGAAUUCCAGGUGUAGCGGGUGAAAUGCGUAGAUAUCUGGAGGAACACCGGGUGGCGAAGG